GAGCAUUGCGCCAAUGCUGCGCAGGCUGGGAUACAACCCCAAUGCCAAUCCACCAGAUUAUGGUCAACCAGAUCCGGAAGUGAUCAACAAUACUCAACGGGUACUGCGAGGAGAUUUUAAAACUCCCACGAGCCUGAAAAGAUGGGCACAAGUAUCUCCAAAGUCAGUUUCUAAAGGAGGCCGAAACUGAAGAGAGUCCUACAUUGAUUGCAGUAUGUGCUGGUGUUCCGCAUUGGAUAAUUCACCACCAUUUUGUGCCAUGAAGGCCUUUCACAAGAUACUGAGCAACCUGAGUAGGAAAUAAUGAGCAUCGUUAUUAUGCAAUAGCUGUGGUUACAUGGGGUCUGAUUUUGACAUAGCCAGAAUCUAUUAUAAUAAUUAGGCAACUAAGUCCUAUUGUGUACCAAAAUGAUGUAAUGUAAUAGAUUGAUGUCAAAGAAACAAGCCUCACACAGACACUGGACAGACAUCGACAUUUUUACUACCUGAUGCUCUCAGAAGAGUAUUGUUUACUUUGUUUAUAGAACAAAGUUUGCCAUAAAUCAAUUACACUGGACUUCCUGAAUAUUGCAGUUUUU